AUAGUACUGUGAAGGAAAGGUGAAAAGCACCCCGGGAGGGGAGUGAAAGAGAACCUGAAACCCUGUGCUUACAAGCACUUAGAGCACGUCAAAGUGUGAUAAGGUACCUAUUGUAGAAUGGUCCGGCGAGUUAUUGUAUGCAGCGAGGUUAAGUAGUUCAGCUACGGAGCCGAAGUGAGAGCGAGUGUUAACAGCACGUUCAGUUGCAUGCAAUAGACCCGAAACCGGGUGACCUAUCCAUGUCCAGGAUGAAGUGAGGGUAAAACCUCAUGGAGGUCCGAACCCACUCCCGUUGAAAUGGUAGGGGAUGAGGUGUGGAUAGCGGAGAAAUUCCAAUCGAACCCGGAUAUAGCUGGUUCUCCCCGAAAUAGUUUUAGGACUAGCCUCGUGAUCAAGAUUAUCGGAGGUAAAGCACUGAAUGGCCUAGGGGUCGAGAGAUUACCGAAGCCUAUCAAACUCUGAAUGCCGAAUAAUCAUGCACGGGAGUCAGACUGUGUGAGAUAAGUUUCAUAGUCGAAAGGGAAACAGCCCAGACCUACAGCUAAGGUCCCAAAGUACGUUUAAGUGGAAAACGAUGUGAAAUUGCGUAGACAACCAGGAUGUUGGCUUAGAAGCAGCCAUACAUUAAAAGAGUGCGUAAUAGCUCACUGGUCGAGUGACUUUGCGCGGAAAAUUUAACGGGGCUAAAACGUACACCGAAGCUUAGGCUUGUCACAAUGUGACAGGGGUAGGGGAGCGUUGAAUGAGGGGUGAAGUCGUAGCGAAAGCGACGGUGGACUUCAUUCAAGUGAGAAUGCCGGAAUGAGUAGCGAGAAUUAUGUGAGAAUCAUAAUGGCCGAAAGCCUAAGGUUUUUGGAGGAAGGUUCGUCCGCUCCAAGUAAGUCGGAAGCUAAGGUGAGGCUGAAAAGCGUAGCCGAUGCACAAACGGUUGAAAUUCCGUUACCACAGAAAGAUUUAAACUAAGGGACACUUUUGAAGAGCUGAUGCCGGGUGUUGGUUACCCCGGUCGUAAGGGAACGAAAUCAAGUAGUGAAGUCAGCGUGGAUGAAGGCGAGAAAAGCUUAGUGUAUAUCUUAUGUGUCCGUACCGCAAACCGACACAGGUAGGUAGGAAGAGAAUUCUAAGGCCAACGGGAGAAGGGUAGUUAAGGAACUCGGCAAAAUGUCCCCGUAACUUCGGAAUAAGGGGAGGUUUCUACGGAAACCCGCAGAGAAUAGUCCCAGGCAACUGUUUAUCAAAAACACAGCUCUAUGCUAAAUCGAAAGAUGACGUAUAUGGGGUGACGCCUGCCCGGUGCCGGAAGGUUAAGAGGAGGAGUGAGAGCCCUGAAUCGAAGCCCCGGUAAACGGCGGCCGUAACUAUAACGGUCCUAAGGUAGCGAAAUUCCUUGUCAGGUAAGUUCUGACCCGCACGAAUGGCGUAAUGAUCUGGGAGCUGUCUCAACUGCCCGCCCGGCGAAAUUGUAGUACCGGUGAAGAUGCCGGUUACCCGCGACUAGACGGAAAGACCCCAUGGAGCUUUACUGUAGCUUAAUAUUGGAUUUCGGCAUUUCAUGUACAGGAUAGGUGGGAGACUAGGAAACAUAGGCGUCAGCUUAUGCGGAGUCGUCCUUGGGAUACCACUCUUGGAGUGCUGAAAUUCUAACCUGCAGCCCUGAAUCGGGUUGGGGGACAUUGUUAGGUGGGCAGUUUGACUGGGGCGGUCGCCUCCAAAAAGGUAACGGAGGCGCUCAAAGGUUGGCUCAGCAUGGAUGGAAACCAUGCCAUAGAGUGCAAACGCAAAAGCCAGCCUGACUGCGAGACUGACGGGUCGAGCAGAAACGAAAGUUGGAGUUAGUGAUCCGGCGGUAUGUGAAUGGAAAUGCCGUCGCUCAACGGAUAAAAGCUACCCUGGGGAUAACAGGCUGAUCUCCCCCAA
rnacentral:rRNA from 1 species